rnacentral:rRNA from 1 species
GACGAACGCUGGCGGCGUGCCUAAUACAUGCCAGUUGAGCGAUGAAGAUUGGUGCUUGCCCCAAUUUGAAGAGCAGCGAACGGGUGAGUAACGCGUGGGGAAUCUGCCUUUGAGCGGGGGACAACAUUUGGAAACGAAUGCUAAUACCGCAUAACAACUUUAAACAUAAGUUUUAAGUUUGAAAGAUGCAAUUGCAUCACUCAAAGAUGAUCCCGCGUUGUAUUAGCUAGUUGGUGAGGUAAAGGCUCACCAAGGCGAUGAUACAUAGCCGACCUGAGAGGGUGAUCGGCCACAUUGGGACUGAGACACGGCCCAAACUCCUACGGGAGGCAGCAGUAGGGAAUCUUCGGCAAUGGACGAAAGUCUGACCGAGCAACGCCGCGGGAGUGAAGAAGGGUUUCGGAUCGUAAAACUCUGUUGGUAGAGAAGAACGUUGGUGAGAGUGGAAAGCUCAUCAAGUGACGGUAACUACACAGAAAGGGACGGCUAACUACGUG